GCCCUCUUAGCUCAUUCGGUAGAGCACUUCCAUGGUAAGGAAGAGGUGGUGGGUUCGAUUCCCACAGAGGGCUCCG
rnacentral:tRNA from 2 species